GUGCCAGACUCCUACGGGAGGCAGCAGUGAGGAAUAUUGGUCAAUGGGCGGGAGCCUGAACCAGCCAAGCCGCGUGAGGGAAGAAGGUACAGCGUAUCGUAAACCUCUUUUGUCAGGGAGCAAAGGGCGCCACGUGUGGCGCUUUGCGAGUACCUGAAGAAAAAGCAUCGGCUAACUCCGUGCCAGCAGCCGCGGUAAUACGGAGGAUGCGAGCGUUAUCCGGAUUUAUUGGGUUUAAAGGGUGCGUAGGCGGAAUGCCAAGUCAGCGGUAAAAUCGCGGGGCUCAACCUCGCUCCGCCGUUGAAACUGGCGUUCUUGAGUGGGCGAGAAGUAUGCGGAAUGCGUGGUGUAGCGGUGAAAUGCAUAGAUAUCACGCAGAACUCCGAUUGCGAAGGCAGCAUACCGGCGCCCAACUGACGCUGAAGCACGAAAGCGUGGGUAUCGAACAGGAUUAGAUACCCUAGUAUA
rnacentral:rRNA from 1 species